rnacentral:rRNA from 1 species
CCUACGGGCGGCAGCAGUGAGGAAUAUUGGUCAAUGGACGGAAGUCUGAACCAGCCAUGCCGCGUGCAGGAAGACGGCUCUAUGAGUUGUAAACUGCUUUUGUACAAGGGUAAACCUGAAUACGUGUAUUCAGCUGAAAGUACUGUACGAAUAAGGAUCGGCUAACUCCGUGCCAGCAGCCGCGGUAAUACGGAGGAUCCAAGCGUUAUCCGGAUUUAUUGGGUUUAAAGGGUGCGUAGGCGGAUUGAUUAGUUAGGGGUGAAAUUUCCGAGGUUAACUCGGGAACUGCCUCUAAUACUGUUGAUCUAGAGAGUAGAUGCGGUAGGCGGAAUGUAUGGUGUAGCGGUGAAAUGCUUAGAGAUCAUACAGAACACCGAUUGCGAAGGCAGCUUACCAAUCUAUAUCUGACGUUGAGGCACGAAAGCGUGGGGGGCAAACAGGAUUAGAUACCCGAGUAGUC